rnacentral:misc_RNA from 1 species
UACGGAGGGUGCGAGCGUUAAUCGGAAUUACUGGGCGUAAAGCGCAUGCAGGCGGCGUGUUAAGCCAGAUGUGAAAGCCCGGGGCUCAACCUCGGAAUCGCAUUUGGAACUGGCAGGCUAGAGUCUUGUAGAGGGGGGUAGAAUUUCAGGUGUAGCGGUGAAAUGCGUAGAGAUCUGAAGGAAUACCGGUGGCGAAGGCGGCCCCCUGGACAAAGACUGACGCUCAGAUGCGAAAGCGUGGGGAGCAAACAGG